rnacentral:rRNA from 1 species
GACGAACGCUGGCGGCGUGCCUAAUACAUGCAAGUUGAGCGAGCGGAACUAACAGAUUUACUUCGGUAAUGACGUUAGGAAAGCGAGCGGCGGAUGGGUGAGUAACACGUGGGGAACCUGCCCCAUAGUCCGGGAUACCACUUGGAAACAGGUGCUAAUACCGGAUAAGAAAGCAGAUCGCAUGAUCAGCUUUUAAAAGGCGGCGUAAGCUGUCGCUAUGGGAUGGCCCCGCGGUGCAUUAGCUAGUUGGUAAGGUAAAGGCUUACCAAGGCGAUGAUGCAUAGCCGAGUUGAGAGGUUGAUCGGCCACAUUGGGACUGAGACACGGCCCAAACUCCUACGGGAGGCAGCAGGUAGGGAAUCUUCCACAAUGGACGCAAGUCUGAUGGAGCAACGCCGCGUGAGUGAAGAAGGUCUUCGGAUACGUAAAACUCUGUUGUUAGAG